CCUACGGGCGGCUGCAGUAAGGAAUAUUGGUCAAUGGACGAAAGUCUGAACCAGCCAUGCCGCGUGGAGGAUGAAGGUCCUCUGGAUUGUAAACUUCUUUUAUAUGGGACGAAAAAGGGUCUUUCUAGAUCAACUGACGGUACCAUAUGAAUAAGCACCGGCUAACUCCGUGCCAGCAGCCGCGGUAAUACGGAGGGUGCAAGCGUUAUCCGGAUUCACUGGGUUUAAAGGGUGCGUAGGUGGGUUGGUAAGUCAGUGGUGAAAUCCCCGAGCUUAACUUGGGAACUGCCAUUGAUACUAUCAGUCUUGAAUACCGUGGAGGUUAGCGGAAUAUGUCAUGUAGCGGUGAAAUGCUUAGAUAUGACAUAGAACACCAAUUGCGAAGGCAGCUGGCUACACGAAUAUUGACACUGAGGCACGAAAGCGUGGGGAUCAAACAGGAUUAGAUACCCUGGUAGUC
rnacentral:rRNA from 1 species